rnacentral:rRNA from 1 species
AGAGUUUGAUCCUGGCUCAGAUUGAACGCUGGCGGCAGGCCUAACACAUGCAAGUCGAGCGGAUGAAGGGAGCUUGCUCCUGGAUUCAGCGGCGGACGGGUGAGUAAUGCCUAGGAAUCUGCCUGGUAGUGGGGGAUAACGUCCGGAAACGGGCGCUAAUACCGCAUACGUCCUGAGGGAGAAAGUGGGGGAUCUUCGGACCUCACGCUAUCAGAUGAGCCUAGGUCGGAUUAGCUAGUUGGUGGGGUAAAGGCCUACCAAGGCGACGAUCCGUAACUGGUCUGAGAGGAUGAUCAGUCACACUGGAACUGAGACACGGUCCAGACUCCUACGGGAGGCAGCAGUGGGGAAUAUUGGACAAUGGGCGAAAGCCUGAUCCAGCCAUGCCGCGUGUGUGAAGAAGGUCUUCGGAUUGUAAAGCACUUUAAGUUGGGAGGAAGGGCAGUAAGUUAAUACCUUGCUGUUUUGACGUUACCAACAGAAUAAGCACCGGCUAACUUCGUGCCAGCAGCCGCGGUAAUACGAAGGGUGCAAGCGUUAAUCGGAAUUACUGGGCGUAAAGCGCGCGUAGGUGGUUCAGCAAGUUGGAUGUGAAAUCCCCGGGCUCAACCUGGGAACUGCAUCCAAAACUACUGAGCUAGAGUACGGUAGAGGGUGGUGGAAUUUCCUGUGUAGCGGUGAAAUGCGUAGAUAUAGGAAGGAACACCAGUGGCGAAGGCGACCACCUGGACUGAUACUGACACUGAGGUGCGAAGGCGUGGGGAGCAAACAGGAUUAGAUACCCUGGUAGUCCACGCCGUAAACGAUGUCGACUAGCCGUUGGGAUCCUUGAGAUCUUAGUGGCGCAGCUAACGCGAUAAGUCGACCGCCUGGGGAGUACGGCCGCAAGGUUAAAACUCAAAUGAAUUGACGGGGGCCCGCACAAGCGGUGGAGCAUGUGGUUUAAUUCGAAGCAACGCGAAGAACCUUACCUGGCCUUGACAUGCUGAGAACUUUCCAGAGAUGGAUUGGUGCCUUCGGGAACUCAGACACAGGUGCUGCAUGGCUGUCGUCAGCUCGUGUCGUGAGAUGUUGGGUUAAGUCCCGUAACGAGCGCAACCCUUGUCCUUAGUUACCAGCACCUCGGGUGGGCACUCUAAGGAGACUGCCGGUGACAAACCGGAGGAAGGUGGGGAUGACGUCAAGUCGUCAUGGCCCUUACGGCCAGGGCUACACACGUGCUACAAUGGUCGGUACAAAGGGUUGCCAAGCCGCGAGGUGGAGCUAAUCCCAUAAAACCGAUCGUAGUCCGGAUCGCAGUCUGCAACUCGACUGCGUGAAGUCGGAAUCGCUAGUAAUCGUGAAUCAGAAUGUCACGGUGAAUACGUUCCCGGGCCUUGUACACACCGCCCGUCACACCAUGGGAGUGGGUUGCUCCAGAAGUAGCUAGUCUAACCGCAAGGGGGACGGUUACCACGGAGUGAUUCAUGACUGGGGUGAAGUCGUAACAAGGUAACC